AGCCUCAUUGUAGAUGAGAAUGGGCACUCUAGAUCAGUUUCUAAAAUUGGUCAAUGUGGCUAAAUUGACACAGGUUAUGCUUCCAUCAUUGCAGUGAUGACAAUGAGAUCUGUAACAUUU
ensembl:snoRNA